rnacentral:rRNA from 1 species
UACGUAGGGGGCAAGCGUUGUCCGGAAUUAUUGGGCGUAAAGAGCUCGUAGGCGGUCUGUUACGUCCGCUGUGAAAACCCAGGGCUUAACCCUGGGCUUGCAGUGGAUACGGGUAGACUAGAGGCAGGUAGGGGAGAAUGGAAUUCCCGGUGUAGCGGUGAAAUGCGCAGAGUAUCGGGAAGAACACCCGUGGCGAAGGCGGUUCUCUGGGACGGUACUGACGCUGAGACGCGAAAGCGUGGGGAGCGAACAGG